rnacentral:tRNA from 1 species
GACCUCGUAGCUCAGUUGGUAGAGCAUCGGACUAGUACCCCAAGGGUCGCGGGUUCGAUUCCCACCGUGGUCA